AGUUGAACUAUGAUAAAAGUAUCAGUGUUCUAUACUUAAUCAUGAGAACCCUAUGAACAUAUUAGAUAGUUUGUGAGAAAUCUGUUCAUCAUCGACGCCGGAGACCACAGUCGUCUAUUGGUCUUUUUGAGAAACUUUAAUUCUCUUUCAUGUAACUUCUCAUAUGCGAGCUACCAUUUCGAAGAACAAACCCUAAACCAAUUCAUCAGCGGCUCCGGGGACCGGCAUCCGUUGUUCCCAUUGUCUUCCACUUUUUUGGACUAACCUUUUCAUCAUGCUAGCAGCGCCGGAAAUGGCCGGAGACCAAUUUCCGUUAUUCCAUUUUUUGUGUUAUAAAUUGGUAUAGACGAUAGUGCAGGUUUGUGCUGCUUGGCUGCUGGGUUGAGGGCUUCUGUUUUGCCUUCUGUUGUGAUUCUGCUGCUGCUGCAGUUGUGAGGCCUUCUGUUUUGCCUUCCGGAAAAUAUCAGCAUUUCCCUUUUCUCUUUUUGUAUAUUUAUUGGUGCAGCCUCCUCAAUCUUGUUUAUUUGUUUGUAAAAGAAAAGGGUUCAAUUGCAAUGAUUGUACUCAAUGUUUUGGAUUUCCCCUGCUAUGCUCUCCUUUUGAUCAUGAUUGUGUCGUUUGUCUAUGGUGUUUCAUUUUCUGGGACAGCAGAUGGGUGACUUUUCUGUUGCAGUAAUUGUUGGAUUGAGCUGUGCUCGAUGGUUAAAUUAUGCUGUGUGAGCGACUGUGUUGAUUGGCUGCCAGUUUCUGGUUCUGCUUGACUGCUUCUGCCAGUACUCAUUGUCUCAAGUCAAGACUUUCCUAUUUCUUUAUUUUGAUUAAACCAGUGACGUUCCUUGUAAUUAUUGAUUAAUUUUAUUAGCUUCCAUUUCCAACUAGGAUACUGCUUUGUUACAAUCAAAAUGCUUUCACUUUGUAAAUGAAUGAAUGAUAUUAUACGGUCUUUCUAAUAUUUGUAUACUGCUGGGUGUGCUUUCUGGAUC